CUUUUUCAACAAAUCCUUGAUCCAAAGUUCCAAACACAGCUUGAGAGUGUACCCUCUUAUUGAUGAGAAGUCAUAGUUACUUUGAUGAGAAGUCAGAUGGAUCACUUCGUGCCCUGAGAACCAAGAUUGCGAAUUUCCUUGCCAACAAUUUGAAUAGGAACUGGCCUCGUGAUCUGUAUGAAAAGGUUGCUCGAAGCUUGUGAAACCAUGGCUUUUCCGGCUGUCUAGGUUGGUUACGCAUAUAUGGCUUUUGUACAAAACAGUCAACUUCGGCUAGUCUGUCCAUGAUGGCCAUUUUUGUUGGUGAGAUCUUUGUGG